rnacentral:lncRNA from 1 species
UCGUGCUUGUAUUUCUUUUUGUAUAUUGAACAGAAUAAGUGCAAUCUUAUAUAUCUUGGAUACAUAAUACAGAUCCCUUUCAUCAGAUUGAGGUCAUGUGUUUUCUUCAAUUAAUUUUAUAAUUUUUUUUUGACUUGGAUGCAAAUGGAAUAAAAGUCAACAAAGCCAAUUGACAUCUCUCUUUCUGAUUAACAUAUAGAGGACCAUUUC